GAUAGUUUACAGUGAAUGACAGGAACAAACCUGGAAGACGAAAAGCAGAAAUAACAUGGAGAUUUUGGAAGUGGCCAGACCUCAGGAGUCACAGCCCAGGCCCGCCCUUGCCAGCUGCGCGCAGGGAGGCGACGCUCCGUCCUUGCCAGGGGAGCAGAUACCAAAGUAAAGUGGUUACAAAUAUUAAAUGAAAUUCAGCACACUGCGUGCUAGACAGUGAAUACGUCUCCUUCAUUCCCAGAGUCGUAAGAGGGCAGAGGACAAGGCAGGCCGCUCCCCGUGUUCCGGGGCUCAAACACAGCCGAGCUCGCUGGCGGUGAGAAUGUGUAACUGGAGGAGGGAAACGGGUACAGCGCUCCGAGGAAGAAUCUUUUAGAACAACUUCAACAUCUCUGUGAAAAUAUGGAAAAAGAAGUCCAUGGUCACACAGACCACAAACGACUGAGCCCCUGUGAAGUCCAGGGAGCUGUGGGCCUAGCACGCUGGCCGCUCCUUCCGAGCACCAGCAGGCUCCCUCCUGCCCCUCCUGGGUGGCGCUGUGGCAGCUGAGCUCGGCUCCCACCUACCCUGGCUUUGCUGUUGCUGGAGAAGAAGACAGCCCGACACACGGCGCUCGCCGACCUGGGGUGACCCUUAAGUGUGCUCCGAGCUUUGGGAAGGAUCAAAGCUUUGGCAAGGUGAGGUGGACUCUGGGACAGGUUCCAGCCUGGCCAGAAGCAGAAACUGCACAUUUUCCUCAGGAGACAAGUGGUCUGAGAAAGUACUUUGGGGCGCUCAGAAUGUACGUGUUCACAUUUAUUUUGGACCGCCUUUGAAAUUCUUCAGUAGAAGUGCCUCUGCUCUGGACCAGCGCGGUGUGGCAGCUGUUAAUUCUGGGUCUCUGCCUCUGUCUUCCACAUGCACACGGACCAGCAUCCCGUGUUGGGAGCAGGGGGGAAUGGACAGGCAGGACAGAGUGCACCCAGGUGGUCAGAACUUCUCAGCAAUCAAGGGACACAGGGAUCAAUGUCACCUCUGGGUGCUAGGGGCUGGUAUUUGAGUUGUGAUCUGCCUGCCCCCCAAGAGUGGGCUCCCCCCACCCCAGGGCCACAGUGGCUCACGAAUUUUCCUCCCAGAUGGUGAGCCAGUUGGCAUCACGCUCCCAAGGUGUGAAUCUGGGUAACACCCUUUAUGGGGUCAUUUUAGGGAAGGACCCCUGAACUGAAGCUGUUCCUUUCAGAAGGAAUCCCUGGGCCCCGAGGUCAGAGUGUAGUAGCAAAGCUCCUGAAACUGGAUCUUGGGGCACUCCUGGCGUUUCCACCCACUGAGUGCAUGUGAGUUACACUGCUUUUCUGAGCUUCAGUUUUUUCUGCCGUCAAGCAGGAAUAUGUAGCAUUGCUGGGCUCCCACCAUGGAGAGUGGCCUCGACUCAGGGACCCCAUUAGAUCAGCUUCAUGAAGGAAUUUGAAACCUGCCAGGUUGUUAAUGUCGGAGACCCUGUCUUUUAACUUUGGAAACCCCAGACACCUUGGAAAGUCUUCAAUAAAUGUGUGAGACGGAGGAGCAAGUAUAACUUCAUAAUCAGCUACGAGUUCCCUCUUCCCCAGGCUCAGUGUAGACACUGCUGCCAACGUGAGUGGCCUCUUCCUUCCCAGCGGCCUGGGGGGUGGCAGGACCGAGAGGCAGUGGUGGUCCGGGGUACCCAAGGAGAGGGCUUGAGGUGUGCCCGAGUCAGUGAAGCGCCCAGCGCCCGAGGCUGACUUGGAGGCAGCAGGGCCGCCCUUCAAGGGCACCGUGAGCUCGGACAGCAGACACAUCGGUGAUGACCGUGACAGGAAGAUGCUCUGAAUGCUCCGGACUGCUGAAGGCUCUCACACUUCUUGAACAACACCAGAGAGGUAGGAGAUUUCCCCUCUCACGGCCCCCUACUGUCACUGCAAAUGCCUGGACUUUAAUUUUCCACCAUCCUCAUUAGAACAAAUCAGAUGUCAAGGAACACAUGCACAUGCCAUCACUGCAUCCUGGCAUUAUGAACUAAGGCCCUACCCGUUAGGAAAACAGUAACAACUUCUGGCCUAGGAAUGGGUUAAAUAGCCCACAUUUAAUGUGUGUAAGCGAUGCGCCAGCAUAUGGGGAGGCUUCCUAGCUGAUGGCUGCAGCUCUCUGAAGCCCUCUGGGAAGCUCUGGUAGGGCCCACCCCGCAGACCGUUCUGGAACUUCUGAAUCCCGCUGUGUUUCCAUCACUGUUUACUCUUUCCCAAGUGCUUUACACACACGCUGAUCGUUGUGAGCCACACAUCCCCAU